CGUACACUCCUGCGGGAGGCAGCAGUGGGGAAUUUUGGACAAUGGGCGAAAGCCUGAUCCAGCCAUGCCGCGUGCAGGAUGAAGGCCUUCGGGUUGUAAACUGCUUUUGUACGGAACGAAACGGCCUUUUCUAAUAAAGAGGGCUAAUGACGGUACCGUAAGAAUAAGCACCGGCUAACUACGUGCCAGCAGCCGCGGUAAUACGUAGGGUGCAAGCGUUAAUCGGAAUUACUGGGCGUAAAGCGUGCGCAGGCGGUUAUGUAAGACAGUUGUGAAAUCCCCGGGCUCAACCUGGGAACUGCAUCUGUGACUGCAUAGCUAGAGUACGGUAGAGGGGGAUGGAAUUCCGCGUGUAGCAGUGAAAUGCGUAGAUAUGCGGAGGAACACCGAUGGCGAAGGCAAUCCCCUGGACCUGUACUGACGCUCAUGCACGAAAGCGUGGGGAGCAAACAGGAUUAGAUACCCUAGUAGUCCCAUGA
rnacentral:rRNA from 1 species